rnacentral:lncRNA from 1 species
UCCAUUACAAUUUAUACUACAAAAGGCCAAUAUUAAAUAAAUGCUCAACAUGUCUGUUUUAGUUAGCUUUUUUGCUGCUAUGACUAAAGGACCUGACCAAAAACAAAUGUAAAGGAGGAAAAGUUUAUCUGAGGGCUCACAGUUUCAGAGGUCUUAGUCCAUAGAAGGCCGGCUCCAUUCUUCAGGGCUCAAGGUGAGGCAGGACAUUAUGGAAGAAUGUGGCAGAGGGAAGCAGCUCAUAUGUUGAUCAGGAAGCAAAGAGAGAGUUCUACUCUCCAAAUACAAAAUAUAUACCCAAACACCACGCCUCCAAGUCCCACUUCCUCCAGCCACACCCUACCACUUUAGUUAAUCCCUACUAGGGGAUUAAUUCUCUGAUUGGGUUAAUACUCUUAUAACCCAAUCAUUUCUCCUCUUAAUCUUCUCUCAUUGUCUCCCAUGUGAGCUUUUGGGGGACAUCUCACAUCCAAACCACAAUAAUUUCUUAGGAAAAAACAGCAUGAAGACUUCAGGAAUGAUGAUUGUGGGCACAAUUGUUUAUUCAUUAAGGUUUAUUGAAUAGGUAGGUGCUCUAGAGACUAUAGCAUAUGGGUAAGCUCUAGGUCCAUAUCAACCAAAAGUUCUAAAAAGUCCUAUUGUCUAAGGAGAUCCUGAUCAGCUUCAUUGAAAAUCUCAUCUCAGAAGGAAAGAAAUCCUGUUGCAUUGAGCUUAAUUCUGAAUCACAAAGAGAUACUCACUGAUUAGCAGUGGAGCUGUGACACUUUGGGAUUUAUAAGUAAACCCUUCAUGUAGUUGAAUAAGUACCAGAAUUUGGAAAGUGUAUUUCACAGAUUUAGAGAAAAGAUGGGUUUCUUGCUCAAGGAAUAUGAUCUGAUCAGAAAAAUUGAUGCUACUAUCACAAGGAGGAAGAAGAAGGAUGCACUAAACUCAGGUGGCUGCAGAGGGAGUUCUCUGACUUCUGAUUUGAAAAGAGAUAUGUGAAGAAAAAAAACGGAAAGAGAAUACGAUCCACAGUGAGACUGGUGAAUAAUUUGAAAGAGAAAGACCCUCAGGAGCUGAGGACUGAAGACAAGAAUAAGGACACAUGAGAGCACUUAUAAC